rnacentral:rRNA from 1 species
CACUCCUACGGGAGGCAGCAGUGGGGAAUAUUGCACAAUGGGCGCAAGCCUGAUGCAGCCAUGCCGCGUGUAUGAAGAAGGCCUUCGGGUUGUAAAGUACUUUCAGCGGGGAGGAAGGCGAUAAGGUUAAUAACCUUGUCGAUUGACGUUACCCGCAGAAGAAGCACCGGCUAACUCCGUGCCAGCAGCCGCGGUAAUACGGAGGGUGCAAGCGUUAAUCGGAAUUACUGGGCGUAAAGCGCACGCAGGCGGUCUGUCAAGUCGGAUGUGAAAUCCCCGGGCUCAACCUGGGAACUGCAUUCGAAACUGGCAGGCUAGAGUCUUGUAGAGGGGGGUAGAAUUCCAGGUGUAGCGGUGAAAUGCGUAGAGAUCUGGAGGAAUACCGGUGGCGAAGGCGGCCCCCUGGACAAAGACUGACGCUCAGGUGCGAAAGCGUGGGGAGCAAACAGGAUUAGAAACCCCGGUAGUCCC